GAUGAACGCUGGCGGCGUGCCUAAUACAUGCAAGUCGAGCGAUCAGACGAGGAGCUUGCUCCUUUGACGUUAGCGGCGGACGGGUGAGUAACACGUGGGUAACCUACCUAUAAGACUGGGAUAACUUCGGGAAACCGGAGCUAAUACCGGAUAAUAUUUCGAACCUCAUGGUUCGAUAGUGAAAGAUGGCUCUGCUAUCACUUAUAGAUGGACCUGCGCCGUAUUAGCUAGUUGGUAAGGUAACGGCUUACCAAGGCAACGAUACGUAGCCGACCUGAGAGGGUGAUCGGCCACACUGGAACUGAGACACGGUCCAGACUCCUACGGGAGGCAGCAGUAGGGAAUCUUCCGCAAUGGGCGAAAGCCUGACGGAGCAACGCCGCGUGAGUGAUGAAGGUCUUCGGAUCGUAAAACUCUGUUAUUAGGGAAGAACAAACGUGUAAGUAACUGUGCACGUCGUGACGGUACCUAAUCAGAAAGCCACGGCUAACUACGUG
rnacentral:rRNA from 1 species